AUCAUCCUGCAGGUACGAAACAUUUGAAUCUCCAUGCAUGUCACAUGCCAUAUUUUAUAGAUCAUAUACCUUUCUUCUCUUUUCUUAUUCCAUAUAUGGUCACCCUCAUUUUUCCCACGUCAGUUAGUUCUCAAGUGCUCAUGGAUAUGUUCAUUUAGCUAUUGUUGUGUACAUGAUGUCUGAAACACUCUUGAUUUGUGCAUUGUCUUUAACUUACCUACCUAAUCUUUACUCCUACAUUGGCUCUGAUUUUGCAGCAUUGAUUCUGAUUGGAAGUUUGUUACUAGAUUUUGGGAAGGAAUUGGAAUUUUGUAGAGAUUAUUGUAAGUGUUGUUUGUGUAUAUCUUGUUUUGGGUUGUUCUUGCUCCAUUUUUUUUAGGAUUAUUUGGGUAAUUUUUGUUGUAUGAUUCUAUUAUCUUGAUGAAUAUAAUAUUUGAAGUAGGAUUGAGUCUAAAUUUAAGAGAUUUUUUUUUUUUUUUUGGAUUCUUUGGUGGGUUUGAAAUUUUUGAGAAUGGCAACUAAUUUCUAAACACAACCUGUUUGUUAGAUGACUCUGUUCUUUCUACUUCUGGUAUUAUGGUAGUAUAACUUUUUGUUGUUGUAUUACUGAAACUUGAAGGAAAGGGUGCAUCUAUCUCUAAGGUGGUGUAAAUAGUGUAAUUGCAUAUUUUGUAUUAGUGUAAAGGGUGUCUGUAGUUUUUAGACCAUUUUUCUGUUUUUGUUUUUAUUUUUUGUAUAUGAUUUGCAAUAGAGGAUUUCCAAGACUUUUUUCUCAAGUAUAGAUGGAAAGGCAAUUUGUGGCGCAUGUGCCACCGCCUAGAUCAAUAAAGAGGAAUGACCCAUGCAGGGCUAGCCACCAAACAUGGAACAUCAUUAAUAGCUUUAACCAUCAUUGCUUUAAAAUAGGGCCACACCCACAUUGGUACUUUUCUUCAUUGUAGGUGAGUUUGUGUGGUUAGUUACACUCUUUUCAGAUGAUUACGCUAUAGUACCGGGUACUAGAAAUCCUCCUUGGAUCCCAACAUUACUCUACUCCUGUUGAUGUGUGGUAAGUGGCACUACACCAAAAUCAUUUAUUAGGAACAACUACUGUUUUUUUUGUUUUUUUUUUCUGCGGAACUGUGAUUUAUGUGGGUCUAGUUCCUGCUUACAGAGUUUUCUAUCUUUUUGUUGGUCUUUUCUUUCUUCCUUGAAGAUAUUGGUCAUGGCCUUUGUGUUUGGGCAAUUAGAAAAGCGGGAAGCUACAAGGAGACUGCAAGAUUUGUGGAAUGGGAUUGAAAUACAGCCAUAGUUGAAUGCAUUGUCAUCUAGAAAAAUAAAAAGAUCAACAAAAUGAGACUAGACCAAAAUGAAACAACAACAAUUGGCCAAACACUUUACUGCACUUUUGUGUGGCCACUCUGAAUCAGUGGGUCACCUAGUAGAGGCAUCUGUACAAUUAUUUGCAACAAAUCACUGUAGUUGGCUUGAAAGAUGCAUUUGUUUGAUUAUGUUUUAUGGAAUUUCUUUUCUUCAUGUCUUUUCUUUCCCAUGUUUUUGUACAUACUCGUAGACAAGAUUUUACUGGUGUUUUUAUAAAUAGAGGAGUCAAUCUAGACCCAUUAAGCAAGUGAUCAAAGGUUGGACUGGUUGUGUAUGAUUCACAAGUUCUAAUUGGUGCCACUCUUGAAUACAUGGAUGGGCACUACAUGAGAAAGAUUCAGAUUCAGGUUCUGACUUGUAUUCGGAUGGAUCAGAUAUCCUAGAGCAAUUAAUAAGGAAAAGGUAAGAUAACUAAAAGAUAUAGAGGUAGAAUUGCAGCUCAAUAUCAAAGACAAAUCAGAUGAGUUUAGAUUGCCUACAGAAGAGGCACUUCUCCAUUAAUUCUACUUCGAAGUUCUCCUGGUUCAUUUUGAAUUUGGAAACUUGAGGCUCUUAUGAUUUUCCUUUAGGAGCUUCAAGAAGAGGCACAAUGACCACCAGAUCUUCCAAAAUCCUCAGCACAGAAUAAAAGAGUGUGCUAUCUCUCUGUCAAUCUUCUGUAUUUUCUCCUCUCUCUCUCUCUAAUUAUAAUUUUUGGAUUAAUACCCUUUAGUAAUUAUAUCAUUUUCAGCAUUACUAUGAUAUAAUUUUAUUUUAUUUUUUCUUAAAUUCAGAUGUUUCCAGUUACAGAGCUUGUAGAACUUAUUAAAGUGUUUGAAAAUCCAUGACCCACUUGCUUGGACAAAUGCUCUAAAGGUGAAAAAAGACUAACAGUCCAAUCUUCUUAAGUCACAAUGAAAAGAUUGCACCAUUUAAUCACUAUCGUUCGAUCGUGGUUAAGAUUGUUUUCUUGAGAACCAUAAGCAAUUCCAGGUGAUGCCCACCGAAAAUGAUGGUUAUGAUUGAUGAUUGAACUCAUUUUGUUGCCCUUAUGGUUAAGAUUAUCCAAUCAGUGAGAUAUUUCAUCAUGGCCCAUAUGGAAUGGACUAUCUAGAUCAGUGCUAGGAUGGUCCACAUGCACAAAUGUAAAUUGCAUUUUCAUUUCCAAUUCUGUAAGAAUAAUUCUAAUCUUGGGAAUAAUUAAUGGUCCACUAGUGCCAUCCUUUCACAUCUUCAUCGUGGA